rnacentral:rRNA from 1 species
AUUGAACGCUGGCGGCAUGCUCUACACAUGCAAGUCGAACGGUAACAGGCCGCCAGGUGCUGACGAGUGGCGAACGGGUGAGUAAUGCAUCGGAACGUGCCCAGUCGUGGGGGAUAACUACUCGAAAGAGUAGCUAAUACCGCAUACGAUCUAUGGAUGAAAGCGGGGGACCGUAAGGCCUCGCGCGAUUGGAGCGGCCGAUGUCAGAUUAGGUAGUUGGUGGGGUAAAGGCUCACCAAGCCAACGAUCUGUAGCUGGUCUGAGAGGACGACCAGCCACACUGGGACUGAGACACGGCCCAGACUCCUACGGGAGGCAGCAGUGGGGAAUUUUGGACAAUGGGCGCAAGCCUGAUCCAGCAAUGCCGCGUGCAGGAAGAAGGCCUUCGGGUUGUAAACUGCUUUUGUACGGAACGAAACGGCUCUGGUUAAUACCCGGGGCUAAUGACGGUACCGUAAGAAUAAGCACCGGCUAACUACGUG